GAUGAACGCUGGCGGCGUGCCUAAUACAUGCAAGUCGAGCGAACAGACCAGGUGCUUGCUACUCUGCCGUUAGCGGCGGACGGGUGAGUAACACGUGGAUAACCUACCUAUAAGACUGGGCUAACCUCGGGAAACCGGAGCCAAUCACGGAUCAUAUAUUCAACCGCACGCUUCCAUAGUGAAAGACGGUUUUGCUGUCACUUAUAGCUCGAUCCGCGCCGCAUUAGCUAGUUGGUCAGGUAACGGCUUACCAAGGCAACGAUGCGUAGCCGACCUGAGAGGGUGAUCGGCCACACAGGAACUGAGACACGGUCCAGACUCCUACGGGAGGCAGCAGUAGGGAAUCUUCCGCAAUGGGCGAAAGCCUGACGGAGCAACGCCGCGUGAGUGAUGAAGGUCUUCGGAUCGUAAAACUCUGUUAUUAGGGAAGAACAAAUGUGUAAGUAACUAUGCACGUCUUGACGGUACCUAAUCAGAAAGCCACGGCUAACUACGUG
rnacentral:rRNA from 1 species